UAGGGAAUCUUCCACAAUGGACGCAAGUCUGAUGGAGCAACGCCGCGUGAGUGAAGAAGGUUUUCGGAUCGUAAAGCUCUGUUGUUGGUGAAGAAGGAUAGAGGCAGUAACUGGUCUUUAUUUGACGGUAAUCAACCAGAAAGUCACGGCUAACUACGUGCCAGCAGCCGCGGUAAUACGUAGGUGGCAAGCGUUGUCCGGAUUUAUUGGGCGUAAAGCGAGCGCAGGCGGAAUGAUAAGUCUGAUGUGAAAGCCCACGGCUCAACCGUGGAACUGCAUCGGAAACUGUCAUUCUUGAGUGCAGAAGAGGAGAGUGGAACUCCAUGUGUAGCGGUGGAAUGCGUAGAUAUAUGGAAGAACACCAGUGGCGAAGGCGGCUCUCUGGUCUGCAACUGACGCUGAGGCUCGAAAGCAUGGGUAGCGAACAGGAUUAGAUACCCUGGUAGUCCAUGCCGUAAACGAUGAGCGCUAGGUGUUGGGGCA
rnacentral:rRNA from 1 species